rnacentral:rRNA from 1 species
GAUGAACGCUGGCGGCGUGCCUAAUACAUGCAAGUCGAACGCUGAAGGAGGAGCUUGCUCUUCUGGAUGAGUUGCGAACGGGUGAGUAACGCGUAGGUAACCUGCCUGGUAGCGGGGGAUAACUAUUGGAAACGAUAGCUAAUACCGCAUGACAACAGUUAUUGCAUGAUAACUGUUUAAAGGGGGCAACUGCUCCACUACCAGAUGGACCUGCGUUGUAUUAGCUAGUUGGUGAGGUAACGGCUCACCAAGGCGACGAUACAUAGCCGACCUGAGAGGGUGAUCGGCCACACUGGGACUGAGACACGGCCCAGACUCCUACGGGAGGCAGCAGUAGGGAAUCUUCGGCAAUGGACGGAAGUCUGACCGAGCAACGCCGCGUGAGUGAAGAAGGGUUUCGGAUCGUAAAGCUCUGUUGUAAGAGAAGAACGAGUGUGAGAGUGGAAAGUUCACACUGUGACGGUAUCUUACCAGAAAGGGACGGCUAACUACGUG